rnacentral:rRNA from 1 species
UACGGAGGGGGCUAGCGUUGUUCGGAAUUACUGGGCGUAAAGCGCGCGUAGGCGGACCUGCAAGUCGGGGGUGAAAUCCCGAGGCUCAACCUCGGGUCUGCAGUCGAUACGAGCAAACUAGAGUGUUGCAGGGGAGACUGGAAUUCCUGGUGUAGCGGUGAAAUGCGCAGAUAUCAGGAGGAACACCGAGUGGCGAAGGCAGCUCGCUGGGACGGUACUGACGCUGGAGACGCGAAAGCGUGGGGAGCGAACAGG